rnacentral:rRNA from 1 species
CUACGGGAGGCAGCAGUAGGGAAUCUUCCGCAAUGGACGAAAGUCUGACGGAGCAACGCCGCGUGAGUGAUGAAGGUUUUCGGAUCGUAAAGCUCUGUUGUUAGGGAAGAACAAGUGCCGUUCAAAUAGGGCGGCACCUUGACGGUACCUAACCAGAAAGCCACGGCUAACUACGUGCCAGCAGCCGCGGUAAUACGUAGGUGGCAAGCGUUGUCCGGAAUUAUUGGGCGUAAAGGGCUCGCAGGCGGUUUCUUAAGUCUGAUGUGAAAGCCCCCGGCUCAACCGGGGAGGGUCAUUGGAAACUGGGGAACUUGAGUGCAGAAGAGGAGAGUGGAAUUCCACGUGUAGCGGUGAAAUGCGUAGAGAUGUGGAGGAACACCAGUGGCGAAGGCGACUCUCUGGUCUGUAACUGACGCUGAGGAGCGAAAGCGUGGGGAGCGAACAGGAUUAGAUACCCUGGUAGUCCACGCC